rnacentral:rRNA from 1 species
GGUUAAGUGAAUAAGGGCGCACGGUGGAUGCCUUGGCACUAGGAGCCGAUGAAGGACGGGACUAACACCGAUAUGCUUUGGGGAGCUGUAAGUAAGCUAUGAUCCAGAGAUUUCCGAAUGGGGGAACCCAAUAUCUUUUAUAGGAUAUUACUUUUCAGUGAAUACAUAGCUGAUUAGAGGUAGACGCAGAGAACUGAAACAUCUUAGUACCUGCAGGAAGAGAAAGAAAAUUCGAUUCCCUGAGUAGCGGCGAGCGAAACGGGAAGAGCCCAAACCAACAAGCUUGCUUGUUGGGGUUGUAGGACUCCAAUAUGGUAGUCUGUUAGUAUAGUUGAAGGAUUUGGAAAAUUCCGCUAAAGAGGGUGAAAGCCCCGUAGACGAAAUGCUGACAACACCUAGGAGGAUCCUGAGUACGGCGGAACACGAGAAAUUCCGUCGGAAUCCGCGGGGACCAUCCCGCAAGGCUAAAUACUCCCUAGUGACCGAUAGUGAACCAGUACCGUGAGGGAAAGGUGAAAAGCACCCCGGAAGGGGAGUGAAAUAGAUCCUGAAACCGUGUGCCUACAACAAGUCAAAGCUCGUUAAUGAGUGAUGGCGUGCCUUUUGUAGAAUGAACCGGCGAGUUACGAUUGCAUGCGAGGUUAAGUCGAAGAGACGGAGCCGCAGCGAAAGCGAGUCUGAAUAGGGCGAAUGAGUAUGUAGUCGUAGACCCGAAACCAUGUGAUCUACCCAUGUCCAGGUUGAAGGUGCGGUAAAACGCACUGGAGGACCGAACCCACGUACGUUGAAAAGUGCGGGGAUGAGGUGUGGGUAGCGGAGAAAUUCCAAACGAACUUGGAGAUAGCUGGUUCUCUCCGAAAUAGCUUUAGGGCUAGCCUCGGAAUUGAGAAUGAUGGAGGUAGAGCACUGUUUGGACUAGGGGCCCAUCUCGGGUUACCGAAUUCAGAUAAACUCCGAAUGCCAUUCAUUUAUAUCCGGGAGUCAGACUGCGAGUGAUAAGAUCCGUAGUCGAAAGGGAAACAGCCCAGACCACCAGCUAAGGUCCCAAAAUAUAUGUUAAGUGGAAAAGGAUGUGGGGUUGCACAGACAACUAGGAUGUUGGCUUAGAAGCAGCCACCAUUUAAAGAGUGCGUAAUAGCUCACUAGUCGAGUGACCCUGCGCCGAAAAUGUACCGGGGCUA